rnacentral:rRNA from 1 species
CCUACGGGAGGCAGCAGUAGGGAAUCUUUCACAAUGGGCGAAAGCCUGAUGGAGCAACGCCGCGUGCAGGAUGAAGGCCUUCGGGUUGUAAACUGCUUUUAUAAGCGAGAAAUAUGAUGGUAACUUAUGAAUAAGGAUCGGCUAACUACGUGCCAGCAGCCGCGGUCAUACGUAGGAUCCGAGCAUUAUCCGGAGUGACUGGGUGUAAAGAGUUGCGUAGGUGGCAUAAUAAGUAGCUAGUGAAAUCUGGUGGCUCAACCAUUCAGACUAUUAGCUAAACUGUUAAGCUCGAGACCGUUAGGGGUAACUGGAAUUUCUAGUGUAGCGGUGAAAUGCUUAGAUAUUAGGAGGAACACCAGUGGCGAAGGCGGCUUUCUGGACUGUAACGGACACUGAGGUACGAAAGCGUGGGGAGCAAACAGGAUUAGAUACCCGUGUAGUC